rnacentral:rRNA from 1 species
UGGCGGACGGGUGAGUAAUGUCUGGGAAACUGCCUGAUGGAGGGGGAUAACUACUGGAAACGGUAGCUAAUACCGCAUAACGUCGCAAGACCAAAGAGGGGGACCUUCGGGCCUCUUGCCAUCGGACGUGCCCAGAUGGGAUUAGCUAGUAGGUGGGGUAACGGCUCACCUAGGCGACGAUCCCUAGCUGGUCUGAGAGGAUGACCAGCCACACUGGAACUGAGACACGGUCCAGACUCCUACGGGAGGCAGCAUG